rnacentral:rRNA from 1 species
AGUUAGUGGCGGACGGGUGAGUAACGCGUGGAAAACCUGCCGUAUACUGGGGGUAACACUUAGAAAUAGGUGCUAAUACCGCAUAAGCGCACAGCUUCGCAUGAAGCGGUGUGAAAAACUCUGGUGGUAUACGAUGGUUCCGCGUCUGAUUAGCUAGUUGGUGGGGUAAUGGCCUACCAAGGCAACGAUCAGUAGCCGGCCUGAGAGGGUGAACGGCCACAUUGGGACUGAGACACGGCCCAAACUCCUACGGAAGGCAGCAG